rnacentral:rRNA from 1 species
UACGGAGGAUCCGAGCGUUAUCCGGAUUUAUUGGGUUUAAAGGGUGCGUAGGCGGCCUUGUAAGUCAGGGGUGAAAGACGGUAGCUUAACUAUCGCAGUGCCUUUGAUACUGCAGGGCUUGAAUGUACUUGAGGUAGGCGGAAUGUGACAAGUAGCGGUGAAAUGCAUAGAUAUGUCACAGAACACCAAUUGCGAAGGCAGCUUACUAAAGUAUGAUUGACGCUGAGGCACGAAGGCGUGGGGAUCAAACAGG